AGGUCAGGAAUUGAGAAAGAGAGAAAAAUUGUGAGCUAGGUAUUGAACCCAUUGAAGAAAGAAGGGGAGUGACCUUGGGGUCUGUAAACAACAGCUGACCGGAUUUUGAUUUGGUGGUUGAUAUGAAAAGUAUGGGCCUCAAAGUAAGAGAAGAUACUACUGAAUGAUGGAGAAAGGAGAGAAGCUGAAACUGUCAGUGGAGAGCAUGGGGUAUUGCCGCUUCACUAACCCAACCAGUGAACCAAGAAUGAGUAAAAGUGCAACCGGGAUUGGAAAGGGUGAUCAGGAAAGCUGUGUCAUCAGGAGGAGCUGUGUUUCAGUUAGAGCUAGCAGAUGUAGGAGAGGAAUAGAUUUCAUAUGAAGAAAAGUUUGUUGUCUAUGAAACAGUUCUCCACAUCUCAGCUGGGAGAUUGGACUGGCAAUAGGAGGUUGGAAUUGUCUUGUGUUAGCACAGAAAAAAGUGGUUGCUUUGGGGCAGUUGGAAGACACCUGUCCCUGCUCCUUGAAGGCUUUCCUCAGGGGACAUGUUGCACUUAGCAGGAGAUCCAAGGUACAAAUAGGAGGAGUUGAGGAAGGAGAGCAUUUCAGAUACGGAGGACAGUAAGAAAAAAUGCCUGAUAUCCUGGUUGAGGGGCUAACACGUCCCACGUGGGGAGGAAUCAACACUACAACGAGUAUGGCGUUCCCUCCUCACUACCUGCUGCCCUUGGAUACCUCAGAACCCAUGCUGCUGGCCAGGCAGUGGGAAGGCCCCCUGCCCCAGGCUGCCCAGAACCCUUCCCAGCUGCCUGGCUGGAGCCACCAACUCUAUUUCUUUCAGUAAGAUGGAGGCCUACCAGGACUUACCAGCUGCUCUGCCUCUACAACCUGAAGAUCCCUGGCACUGUCAUCCGAAUCAAAGCACCUCUGGGCCUUGCCAUCAGCCCUGUAGCUGACCUGUUAUCUAUUGUCUUCCCUGAAGAAAACAUGAGCUUUCUGAGAGCAGAUAACUGUCUUUCUUUUUCUAUUUGUACCUCCAGCUUUUAGUGUAAUGCUUGGCAUAUAGUAAGUGCCUAAUAAA